UACGGGGGGGGCAAGCGUUGUUCGGAAUUACUGGGCGUAAAGGGCUCGUAGGCGGCCAACUAAGUCAGACGUGAAAUCCCUCGGCUUAACCGGGGAACUGCGUCUGAUACUGGAUGGCUUGAGAUUGGGAGAGGGAUGCGGAAUUCCAGGUGUAGCGGUGAAAUGCGUAGAUAUCUGGAGGAACACCGGUGGCGAAGGCGACAUCCUGGACCAACACUGACGCUGAGGAGCGAAAGCGUGGGGAGCAAACAGG
rnacentral:rRNA from 1 species